CAAGAGAGCAAGAACAAACAAUAAUAUGCCCUUCUGAUUACAGCAAUGUUCUACUAAAACCACUGUGUAUAUGGAGUUGUAAAUUCAAUCAAAUUUAAAUAAUAAAAACCUUCCCUUUCUCUCACCAGUGACAGAACAGUACAACCCUUUGCCUUUCUUUUUCUUUUUUUCUUUUUUGUAAUUAAAAAUAGGUUGAACUUUAGGAGUGUUAUUGCACCACUUGAAGCAGUAGAAGAAGUGGAAUAAAGUGCAUCAUAAAAAGAUGCCACUGGGAUCAGUUAAAGUCAACAAAAUUGAAAACAUUUAGAAGGAACAAAGCCAAAAGCACAGAACCAGAUUUAAACGUGGCAUAUGCUGUGGCAGGAGGCCAGCGGAAGGAGAACUUGCUAGAGGAGUAACAACAGGGAGAGCUCCCUCCUGCAGCCCAUGGUCCAGGCAGUGAUCAGCAAAGCAGCAGAGGAAGUAAAAUGGGUGAAGUGAUGCUAUGAUGGAGAUCAACAGGAAGUUUUGGCCGCUAACUUGCAUUUCAGCUGAUGUGGUUUAACCAAGGGAAACAAAGGACAAAAAAGGCAGCUAAGCCUCCUCACUAGAAGAGAAAAAUAGGACAUAAAGCCAGGCAGGAGGAAAAGUUCAUGAUCUGGAGUCCUUGGACUUGCUGAAGUUUCUUGCUGUGUUUCUACAGAAAGUGGGCAAGCAGCUCCACCUCGCACCAAGCCACUGAAGUUUCUCCACCACCAGCCAGUUUUAACUAGGGCUGGUUUUGCCCAAACCACCACCACACUUAAACUGAAAACAAGUCUGACUGCAAAUAGAGACCUCCAUUCACAGAACUGGGGUCUACCAAGGCAACAAGGGGACCAUGCAUUGGCUCCAGUUGAUCUUAUGACUGAGUUGGAAGAUCUCUCCCUCAUAGAGACUGUCUGAUAUCCACUCAUGCAGACUGGAGCUGCACCUCUCCCCAAGGCUCAGCUUGACUGAAACAGGCCAACAGGUUCAGAAGUGAUUGGGUUAAGCAAACAUGCAUAUAUGUGGAAUGAUAAGAAACCUGGGU